UACGAAGGGGGCUAGCGUUGCUCGGAAUCACUGGGCGUAAAGGGCGCGUAGGCGGCUUAUCAAGUCGGGGGUGAAAGCCCGUGGCUCAACCACGGAAUGGCCUUCGAUACUGGUAGGCUUGAGACCGGAAGAGGUAAGUGGAACUGCGAGUGUAGAGGUGAAAUUCGUAGAUAUUCGCAAGAACACCAGUGGCGAAGGCGGCUUACUGGUCCGGUUCUGACGCUGAGGCGCGAAAGCGUGGGGAGCAAACAGG
rnacentral:rRNA from 1 species